AACGAACACUGGCAGCAUGCCUAACACAUGCAAGUCAAACGAAGCCUUCAGGCUUAGUAGCACACGAAUGCGUAACGCGUGGGAACCUGCCUUUAGGUUCGGAAUAACUCAGAGAAAUUUGAGCUAAUACCGAAUAAUGUCUUCAAACCAAAGAUUUAUCGCCUUUAGAUGGGCCCACGUAGGAUUAGCUAGUUGGUGGGGUAAAGGCCUACCAAGGCGACGAUCCUUAGCUGGUCUGAGAGGAUGAUCAGCCACACUGGGACUGAGACACAACCCAGACUCCUACAAGAGGCAGCAGUGGGGAAUAUUGGACAAUGGGCGAAAGCCUGAUCCAGCCAUGCCGCGUGUGUGAAGAAGGCCUUCGGGUUGUAAAGCACUUUAAGCGAGGAGGAAUGGCUCUGGGUUAAUACCCUUGAGCAGUGACGUUACUCGCAGAAUAAGCACCGGCUAACUCUGUGCCAGCAGCCGCCGUAAUAC
rnacentral:rRNA from 1 species